rnacentral:rRNA from 1 species
UACGGAGGGUGCGAGCGUUGUCCGGAAUCAUUGGGCGUAAAGGGCGCGUAGGUGGCCCGGUCAGUUCGUGGUGAAAGCGCGGGGCUCAACUCCGCGUCGGCCAUGAAUACUGCUGGGCUGGAGCACUGUAGAGGCAGGCGGAAUUCCGGGUGUAGCGGUGGAAUGCGUAGAGAUCGGGAAGAACAUCGGUGGCGAAAGCGCUCUACUGGACCGCAACUGACACUCAGGGACGAAAGCUAGGGGAGCGAAUGGG